rnacentral:tRNA from 1 species
UUGCCUGUAGCUCAGAGGAAAGAGCAACCGCCUUCUAAGCGGUUGGUCGCUGGUUCGAAUCCAGCCAGGCGAGACA